GGGGCUGUAGCUCAGUGGUAGAGCACUUGCCUCACAAGUGGGAAGCACUAGGUUCAACCCUCAGCACCA
rfam:Ictidomys tridecemlineatus contig015005, whole genome shotgun sequence.